UUCUACCCAUCCCCAUUGAAUGCAGUAUAUUUAAAGCUCCAGUUUUGUCCCUCUGAGUCUCCUUAAAUUAAUAUUCUCAACUCCUUUUGUUAAUGGGUAGUUGAAAAUAUUUAUUGCUUACUUGAUUCUUCUCUUUGCUUGUAGUAUUUCAUUCUUUUCAUCACUCCCCAUUUCUUCACAUCUCCUUCUCUUCUUCUUCACCUCUCCUUUUCUCUCACUUUCAUUCCUCAUUUUUUUGACAAUUUUUGCAUUUUGCAUGUUGAUUUAUAUUCAUAUGUUAUAGUGUGUGUAGGAGUAGCAAAACGGGAUAUUGGUCCGGUUCAAUAAGAAAGUCGUGUUCAAAAUAUUCGGGACUUUGCUUUCUGAUUGAGCCGUGCCAAUAUCACGUGUCGUUCCUCCCGAAUCUUUACUUGCAACAUUUUUUGUAAUUAUUGUGAAAAGGUAGAAAUUGUGUAGAGCUAAAAUUGUGUAGGUUGGUUUCUCAACUGGCCAAGAAGCUGAAGUGUUUCAAUGAGAAUGGUGUUAUAGACUAUGGGCCUGGGAUGAUCUGGGUUGGGCUGUACUGUGAUUUAUGUAAGAAAAAGUUAAUAAAGUAGCUAAGUGAGCCCGCAAGAGCUGGGCCUUGUAUGUUGCCUCUUACUUUUCUUUUUUCUUUUUGAAGAUUGUUGCUUUGUUCUUCAUUCUUCGUAGUUUAGUUCAUACUGUGUAAUUUAUUCCAUGUUUUUUAACCAUGGCUUGAAUUUAUCAGCGUAAAUUCGAGUA